CAUGGGCCCUGUGGCUGUCCCGGUCUGGCAGUACCCCAAACCUGGCUGUCGCAGGUCCCUGUGCUCGGGAGCGCGGCCUUCACUCUUCUCCUAGAGUUGCCUUCCUCCCUAAAACUGGAGAGGCAGGGUGUCCCCGAAUCCCUGGGGUGAGCUCUAGGGGUCCCCCGGAAGCCUCACUCCUUGUGUUCCCGUCCCGUGGCCCCUGUGACAAAUGACGGCAGACAUGGAGGCCCAAACCACACAGACUUGCUCCCCAGUCUGGAGCCCUGCUGAGCUGAAGCCUGCUACUUUCUAGAGGCAGAGGAGGAGGAGGAGGAUCCACUGCUCUGCCCCUCCCAGCUCCUGCAGUGCCUUCCCCGACUUCAGAACCCACUGUGCGAUCCCUUCUGUCUCUGUCUCUCUGCUCCCCUGUGGCUGGCUCACUGCCCCCUUCCAUGAGGAGACGCCCCUGGUGGGGUGCAGCCCGGAGGGGCCAGAUUCUGUCCCCAGCCCCACCAGGGAGAAGCUGCCUGCAGGGUCCUUAAUGAGUCAAGAGGCCCUGUGCCCUGCAGGAGACACAGCCCUGGGUGCUGAGGAUUAGGGCGCAGGGGUUUCGGGGGCCAGGGCCCGGCCUGACACCCUCUCCUGUGCUCCUCGGCCACAGACCUUCUGGGAGACUCAUCCUGCUGAGGCCCAGGAACCCCAAGCCACUCCCCUGAAUGUCUCGGCGAUGGCGGCGUGGUCGGUUGGUCGGCCUUUCACAUUUCCCUGUGCUGCAUUUCUGAAACCUGUGUUUUGACGGUUCCCACUAAUGAGCUGGUUCAGCAGAUUCUUUCCCCCCUAAAUUGCAAAGACAACGUGACAGUUCAAAAAAACAGAACAAAGAACAUGACAUGUGGAGACGCAGAAAUGUCGAGGUGAGCCAGGCCAUUGUGCUUCUGGUGGCACUGACAUCCAGGGUCACUCCUGAUGGCUGCACAGUUUCUGCUGUAACAUUCUCCUGGUGAUUCCUGUCCUCAUGCAUAGAAAGGUAUCUCUUAGCAAGGUCACACACACACACACACACACACACACACACACCCCUGCACACCAGCGUCUCACUGAGAAGGGCAAGAACCAGUGGCCGGCAGGUGGGCAGCAAUUAAAGCUCCAAAGGAACCAGAGGGCCCAGCAAGGAGCGCAGUGGGCCCUGUCCUCAUUCCGUCACUGGGGGACUCUGACACCAGAGCCAUGGACUCGGCUAAGCCAGAGCCUCUGCGGUUGCACGCAGAAGGAACCCUGAAAAUGCAAGGUGGCUCGGACGGCUCUGUCUACACCGCACACUGCAGAACUACGCAGUUGAAAGCAGCCCUCGCUGUUCUCCAGGAAGAACGGCUGGCAUCGAGGCUCUUUGUGGCCUGCGGCCUGUGCCAGGCAGGGUGCCGAGCCCUUCGCUAGGGGGUGGGCUCCUCGUAACAGUGCCGCCCGGUGCGCUCCAGGCCCUAGUUCCGUCCCCUGUGCCACGAACAAAAUGAAACCCCGAAACACUCGUGAAUCCUCUUCACCCAGUGAGGCGGGCACUACUGAUCCCACUGGGCAGAUGAGGAAACUGAGGCCAUGAGCUGUGGACCCCCUCACUCCAGGCUGUGAGCAGUGAACUACCAGGCUCCAGAUUCUGCCUAGAGAAGGGAGGAAGAUGAGAUGGAGGCACCAGCUCCGCAGUGAGCCUUCUUCUCAUUGGCCCUCAGCUCUGCCCCGUGCGGCUGCGUGUCGUGGGUGAACGCAACACUGCUGAUGCCACUGGAACCUCUCUGGAGACCCAAGCUCAGGUCAUGACCCCAGCGCUCACUCCGGGAGCGGAAUAUCUGAGUCCGACCCCAGUGUUUCCAGCACCCAGGAGAGGGCGGAAGUCACUUCCGUGGAUGCACAGCCCAAGGAGAGGCUGCAGGCCGAGUGGGGGGGUGGAGAGCAGCACAGAGGCCAGGAGGGGCUCCGAAGGCUGGAGAGGAAGUGAGGACCCAGUCCAGACAGUGCAGAUCCCACGAAGUCGCCACGGACCAAGAGAAGACGGAAUCACAGGGCCGCGUGGUCAGGGGCCGGGGAAGUAGGGAGGGUGAGGAGGCCUCGGUGGGCUCAGGCAGCCAGGUGGCUGGAGGCGGCCGUGCCCCGAGGUGGGGACAGCGUCCAGGGCUGCAGGGGAGGUGGAGGCCCGGAGCGUGGAGCGGCAGCACAGACCUGGGCUGGCCGCGGGGUCGGGAGCAAGGCGGAGGAGGGUGACACUGAGAAGGGGCCCGGAGGCCAGGCGGGAGAGAGGCACAGCAGCGGCCGGCGAGGGUUUGCAGACAGGGGGCUGGGACAGUCCCUGAGGACACUGACUCUGGAGGUGACAGAAGAGGCCGCCGGGUGUCAGGGGCCUGGAGAAGGCUGCUGUGCCUCUGGAAGGGGAGGACGCCGGCUUCCUGGACGUGCGGUCUCUGGGACCGUGUGCUGGGGUCACCUCGGGGCUGGAAGGCAGAGAAGGCCUUCAGUGGGUGGGGUCGGGGGUUUGCAGCGAAGCCGUCCUUGGGCUGCCACAGGUGCCGCAGUCACGGGGAGGGGAGGAGAGGGGCAUGGGACAAGGCCAGGCCAGCUCGGGGCCUUGAGGUCCCUGGGGAGGGUGACGGGCGGGGGCGGGAGAGCUCGUCCAGGGCACAGUGCAGUCCGUGCCGGGCCUUGGGGUCUGCACUUUUGGUUGCAGUUUCUUUGCAGUCACUUGGGCUCCCUGCCCCCCAGCAUCUCCCACAGGCCAGGGGUCAGUGGGGAAUCAGUGGCCAAGCCGCCCCUCAGGAGUUUGGGGUUGUUUCAAGCACUCUGGUGCACGCCUGUAGUCCCGGCACUCGGGAGGCUGAGGCAGGAGGAUCACUGCAAGUUGGAGGCCAGUCUGGGCUGCACAGUGAGUUCAAGGCCAGCCUGGACUGCAGCGUGAGACCCAGUCUUAAAAAAAAAGAGGGGAGCACUUGGAGACUGGCAAAAGGUGCAAAGGGGAUGAUUUGAGUGCUGAACAGGAGCAGGGAGUAGUGGGAGGACACAGGAGGCUCUUGGACGAACGUGGGCAAGGUCGUCACCAAGGGCUGCCGAUACCUCGUCCUUGGCCUGCAGAGCUUUGCCGCUGCCUACUCCUCCCCGUUCGCAGUGGGCACCAGCGUGGUGUCCCUUGUGCGCUAGAGGACCCUGCGCCUUUCGGACUUGGACUCGCAGAGCACGAGCACUGAGCACCGGAUGAGAAGCUGCCUUCCUUGUUGGGUCGGAUGGGUCAAGCGCCAGCCAGCCUGCCGCCUCCAGCGGGCUGCCAGACACUGGCCUGAGGGGCCCACCUGGGGCCAGGGGAGUUGGUCCCUGGGACACUCAUCCUUCGGGGAAGGCGGCAGGGUGGGCUGGAGACUGAUUUGGGCAGGGUGGGCUGGAGACUGAUUUGAGCAGCGUGGGCAGCCGAUGGCCGCUCCAGAGCAGGAAUCUCCUGCACAGGGCGCGGGCUCCCGGGCCGCCCAGGGCCCUGGCUUCCUGACUUCUGAGGCUGAGCAAAGCAGCUGUUUAUUUCUCAAGUCAUUCUCUCCCACCCUGUCACUCCACCACUCUGUCAAGGGAGUUUCAUCACAGGCUCAGGAAGAGGGAGGGAGGGAGGGAAGGAAGGAAGGAAAGGACAGCCUCCCUUUGAAGGCGCUGAGGAUUGCCUCCUGCAUUCUCAGCUGGGCCACAGAAGGGGGAGGAAGCCUCUCCUCGGUGCCUGGACCCUGGGAGAGUGGGGGGCACAGGAAGCUGGGACGGGUGAGGAUUCAGAAGAGGAGCCAGAAAGUAGCAGACGGUUGGAGGAUGUGGAAGAGGGCAGGAAGGGUGUCAGAGGAGCAGCAGGGGCAGGUGGGGAAGUCCAGUGUCGGGGGGCCCAGGCAGCUGGGGCUGUAGUUCUGGGGGACCGGGGGGGCUGCCAGGGCCCAUGGCGGGGCUCGGCCCUCUGUGGCCCGCAGGCUCACACUCGGGUGUGGAGCGCCCUGUCCUGCCCUGUGCAACCAGCUGACGCGGACUCCCUGGAUCCCGAGGUUGGGGUGCUUGAGGUCCUGGCCCUGUCAGCGCAGCCUGCACUCUGAGUUGCUUGAGGGAGGUGGAGGGUGGAGAAGAUCCCUCUGCCCUCUGCUGACCCCUGCGACAGGCUGAGUUCCAGCUGUGCCCAGAAUAUCCAGAGGCCUGGAUGCUCCUGCCUCAGCCACCCAGCCCAGCCAGGGCCCGCCCGGGGGGCAGGGAAGCCGUAGAGGGACGGAUGGAUGGAUGGGCUGGUGGAGAAAACGGUGACUGGAGGUGAGGUAGGGUAGAAGGAAUGAAGCCAGGGAAACGAGGCAAAGACCAGAAUUUUAAAAUUGUGUUUUUCAGAAAAACUUCAGCUUUAGGACACAAAAGUUGCUCAAGCCUUUUUUCCUUUCAGGAAACUCAAUUUUUUUUUUUUUUGGUACCGGGGAUUGAACUUGGGAACCACUGAGCUCAAUCCCCGGCCCAAGGAAACUCAAAUUAUUUAUCCCCAAGGGCCGUAAAGAUACAAUGAGCCUGUAAAUUGGGCUUCCAGGGGCCUGUAUUUUUUACUUUUUUUUUUUAGGACAGGGUCUCACCAUGGAGUUCAGGCCAGCCUUGGACUCAUUAAGCAACCCAGGCUGGCCCCGAAUUCAUGGAAAUCCUCCUGCCUCAGUGUCCAAGUGCUCGGAUUACAGCUGUGUGCCGCUGUGCCUGGAUUUUACUUGUUUACUAUACUUUCUCCCACAAACUUCUACCUUCAGGGAGGCAGCAGUGUUAGUGGGCGGUAGAUCCCAACUUCGGGCUUGUGGAAAUCGUGUUCUGAUGAGCAACGUGACAGACAGUAGCAACACACAUCCCAGGCACCCCUCUCGGCCCGCAGGCCCCAUAACUGCGCCCAGCUCCGACCAUAGGCACCCCCCCCCUCCAGGACUCGCAGGCUGUGUGUGUCUUUCAAUGUACGCUUUUAAAAUGUUUGUCUAAUAAAUUCCUUCGUGCCUCUUCUAACAUGUCCUGAAAAUUCCUUUUCCAAGCUGGAGUCAGUAGGGGUACAGCUUAGUCCUCGGGUAAGGCUUGGGGGUCUCCCGGGACCCCAUGCUGCAUCACAGACACGGAUCCUGCGUUGGCCAGUGCUGCAGGUCAUGUGCACACAUGGGAGAUCACCGAGGGCAGAGUGUGGAGCAGAGAAGGACCUCAGGGCCCAGGGCCUGCUGGCCCCCUGAGGGAAGCAGGACCCCUGCACCAGGUCCCCCGGUGAGUAGGGUGUCGCCUGGGGAGGGGGCCAGGGACUUCCCUGCCCCCCAAGUUGGAAAAUCCGCAAAAUCAAGCACAUCUGGCCCUGAACUUCUGAAGGUCUGGUUAAGAAUUAACUCAGAAAUGUCACAAGUCAGAGGCUCGCGGGGCUUGUCCUGAGGAUCGGGCUCACAGAGAGGACUUCACCCAGCUCCCAGUGCCCAAGGGUCACCCCCACGGCAGGGCCGAGUGCUCCCUGCGCCUACCCCAUCAAGUAGCAGGUCGCCUUUUUACUUUGCUCUCUGAUCGUCAGUACCACGGCCGCUGCCCUCCUGGG
rnacentral:lncRNA from 1 species